rfam:Salmo salar isolate Sally breed double haploid chromosome ssa09, whole genome shotgun sequence.
CAGUGCAGUCAUCCAUAAAGUAGAGAGUACUACUAAACUCCUCUGCACAGUGUAGUGUUUCCUACUUUAUGGAUGAGUGUACUGU